GAAGGGACGAACACAAGACAGUAACUCAAAGCCACAGGAGAAAUAAAGGGUUCAAUAAAGACAAAUAGCUGGAGGAUGUCCACGGUCUCUCAGACUACAAUACUCAGAAAGAGUCCAUCCUACACCUGGUGCUUGAGCCCUCCCUCCACCACCUCACCCAGAAGUAAAACUGCAACAAGAUGAUAUGAUGCAGGUGUUAUGCCCAUCCGCACCCCUAUGCAGUCAAAUGCCCCAAGUGCGAACACACCAACCACCUGUGCCUCAAGAAGAAGGUCAAAUAGGGCCCCUCCACCACCUCCUCGGCCUGCAGGGCAGCCUCCUGCCUAACCCCCAGCCCUUGGACCUCAGAAUUUCCCUGUCGUUGACUGGAGCAAUAAAGAAAAAAGGCCGGUGCACCUGCUACUCCCUUUGAUCCCAGGCAAAGUGAUUGAGGAGGUGGCUCAGCUGUGGACAGUGUACAAUGUACCCAGCAAGCAGAACCAUCACGCGUGGUCAGGCCGACCCCACCAGGAGUCCAGACAUCCUCUCAUCACCUGCCGACCAAGAACAGUAGCUGAAUUCUGCGGACAUCCAGGGCUGCCUGUAGCCGCAUUCCAUUUCCAGCCUCACCCUCGCCCUUCCCCCUUUAUAAUCCUGUCCCCUGCACCUUGCCAUAAAACAGGUUUUGGAUGCUUGUAAGCUCCCUGUCUUCCUGGUUGGCUGGCCUUCCAAUAAACACCUUACAAGAUUCAACCCCGCCUUCGUUAUUGGACACAGCGGCAGGCAGCCGAGCCCACC